AGGUCCAAAGGUCGCAACCGUCAUAUCCUGAGACAUGUGAGACUUGUCAGCAAAAAUAGCGAACCCGAUCAUAAGGAAUAGCCCUUGAACAAGAGGAAACAACACAAUAUCGAGGCGGACCUGUCAACUAUAUGAAAACAAAUCGCAUCUGUAUACAUACCAGCUACAGCUGCCAGACAAAUGCUGGCGUACAUGACCAGUCGGUUGUCCCUCGCACAGAACACGUGCACGCCAGUCAUCGCAGUGGCACCUACCAUGGCGAACAGUCCGAGCAAAACCAUCGCGCGUAUUGCGUGCAAAAAUCCUUGAACUAAAUAACAAUAACGUAUGUUAGUCCCAAGCUGGUGAGAACUAGCUAGUUCUUUAAGACUACACACAUCUACGUUUUAGCAAUAUAUUGUAGGGAACGUACUAGACGAAAACAGUUUAAUCUAACGACAUUUAAUGCUAGGAGAAGAUAAGAAAACAGUAAUGAAAGACUGCCACUUAUGUUUCAAUAUAUAUUAAACAAACCAAAAAAUGUUAACGUUGUAAUGUUAAAUACCUGCGCUUGCUGGAUAAGUAACACAAAUGUCAUCAAUACACCCUUGCCACAGACCCGCGCUAACAGAAAGAGUGCCUGCAACGACCCAGUCGGCCAGAGCCAAUGCCAGUAUUGCAAAGAUGACACUAAGACAGCUAAAUCCAAAGAUGAUCAACAUUCCAAUAUCACUGUUACACAUAAUGGGUAACCUGUAUUUUUUCAAAGAUAGGUAAAGCACACAUUCGCACAUUUAACUAUUGGUCACAUUGUUUUAAUUCAAUAGCGUAUCAAGAUAUAAAGGGC